rnacentral:misc_RNA from 1 species
AUAGUUCUUGCAUGCCCAAACAUAUCCACCCUCGCUUUUUAACACAUAAGCGACCAUGUCAUCUAUCAGUCUAUGCUCAUACCAUAUUGAGUGUUCCUCAAACUGUUGCUUCCACUUCUCUUCGUAUACCUCUUGAAAAAUGUCCUUAAACCUUCCAUCGUAUUUCUUUAAAAUUGUGUUUUUUGUACUCAAGUAAAGAGGCCAUUUCUUUGAAAAUGCCAUUGACAUUGAUGAUUCAGCAAAUGCUCGAAUUGACUGGUCGACAUUGUACAUGGCAAGUGCAAUACCCGGACCUUUAAAAUCAUAAACAUCCAGCUCCGUAGGGGAUUCCCCAUUUUCCGGCACAAAAACCAUUUUGAGCUUUCCGGGCCCAUUAAUAAUUGCAUCUGUGGCACGAUACUGAUCACCAAAAGCAUGCCUACCAAUACAAAUGGGUUUCUUCCAACCAGGAACA